rnacentral:rRNA from 1 species
UCGAGAAUCAUUCACAAUGGGGGAAACCCUGAUGGUGCGACGCCGCGUGGGGGAAGAAGGUCUUCGGAUCGUAAACCCCUGUCAUGUGGGAGCAAGCAGCGAUGUAGAUAGUACCACAAGAGGAAGAGACGGCUAACUCUGUGCCAGCAGCCGCGGUAAUACGUAGGUGGCAAGCGUUGUCCGGAAUGAUUGGGCGUAAAGGGAGCGCAGGUGGGCAAUCAAGUCUGUUUUAAAAGCUCGGGGCUCAACCCCGAGAGGGAACAGAAACUGAAUGUCUUGAGUGCAGGAGAGGUAAGUGGAAUUCCUAGUGUAGCGGUGAAAUGCGUAGAUAUUAGGAGGAACACCAGUGGCGAAGGCGACUUACUGGACUGUAACUGACACUGAGGCUCGAAAGCUAGGGUAGCGAACG